rnacentral:lncRNA from 10 species
AUUGCCGCUCCAGCACCGACAGGAACUUGCGGAUGUCCUGGGCGAGCAGCUCCGGCUCCUCAAAGGCCGCAAAGUGGCCCCCACGAACCAUGUAGGAAUAGGAGAUGAGCUUUGGGUACUUGAACCUCACCCACUUUUCAGGCGUGUGCAAUAGCUCAAAAGGGAAGGCAGAGAAGCCAGUGGGCACAUAGACCUUCAUCCUGGAAGUGAAAGAGCCGACGGAGGGGUGAGGCUGUGGCCCUGCGCCCCUCCGUCCUGCACAGCAGGGGGUUAAAGCGCCUGGGGGUGAGAUCAGCUGGCCCACCCACAAGGAGCCAUAAAGAAAAGGACAAAUCCAGGGUCUCAACCGCUCUCCCCUCACUGAGGGCCUUCUCUUUUCUGGGAGGGCCACCCAGGCAGGGGCAUGGGACAGCCUCUAAAUCCCCACCUUUGAGGGUUUCCAUGUGAGACUUGGAAAUCCCAGAACCAUCAGUGCCACUCCAGACCAGCAUCCUAGACUGGGGAGCGGUACUGAGGGCCGCCCGGGAGCCAGGCACCUGGUCCCUCCAUGAGGGCUUUCUCCAAACACCUCGACCUUUAGUGUUCCCAUCCAAGGGCCCCUGGGGCACCUGCAGGCAAGGCUAUACUUAUCCCACCACCAAGUGCCCUUCGUGGAGCCCAAGACUGGCCGUCCCCCUGCCUCCAGCCUCAGAGGCCCCUGUUCUCGGCUCAGCCAGGCUCACCGCUCAUGCUUCUGGGUCAUCCAGCCCUGUCCCAGGUUCUCCUUGUAGAAGCGCUGGGAGGAGAUGAUGGUGCCUGUUGUCCAGUAGAGCAUGACGUUGGUCAGCAGGUCGUCCAGGGAGAACUUCCUGGGAACGCAGAACACAAAGCCCCACUCUCAGUGCCACAUGCAGUUGUGUGACAAAGGGCAGCCAGAAAGUCCUACAAAUGCCAGGCCCUGCCCAUGCGGCUUCCCUCCUCAGACCUCAUGCAACGUGUGUGGUAUCCUCGUGUCACAGGCAGGCUGCGCCCAGGGCACUAGACUGGAGCGCAUGGAUUUAGUUGAAGUGUCUCUUAUCACCCCAAGGUCCUCCCCCCACCCACCUUGCCUCUACACACCUGUCCCCUCUCUCCUGCCACUGACCUCUCCUCCCUCCCCUCAACCCCUGCACCGUGAAACUGCUCAGGGCACCAGCUACUGUGGUGACCACAUACCAGGCAGCAUGUUCUAAGCUCCUUACCUUCUUUUAAUUCAUGUUUUCCUCUCAACAGCCUAUGGGACAUAGGUACUAUUAUCUCCAUUUUACUUAUUAAGUGGAGAAUCCAAACCUAGCCAGCUUGGGUCCAGGAUGCAUACUCCACAGCCCCCACCCCACCUUCCACUUUCCCCAGAGCACGCCCUCCCAACCCUACCUUCCUCACUCAAACCCUGAAUCUCUAGCAACAGCAGCAGGGAGCAGGGACAGAGAUAAAGGGAACAGCCUUUUCAAUGUGAUUUUGGUGGCAAAAUGAAAACUGGUCAAUGAAAACUAGUUCCAGUAUACACAUCACCUCUGUGAACUGGAUUUCUGCAAGUUGGCCAAGUGCUUCCAUCUCCCUUUCAGCUCUGCCCGCAGCUUGAAAACGACCACGACCACCAUUUCCACCCUAGUGUAUUCCUGUUCUUUCUAGAACACAGAUCUGAUCCUGUCUACCUCCUGCUCAGGGAUUUGGUGCUCCCUGUAACCCGGGGCCAGAGCUGCAGGAGUGGCCUAGUGGGAUAGUCUGGUGGGGCCUCACAUCUUGCUCCAGGUAUCCGUGUGCAAGGAGCAGGCCAGACCCCCUGCCAAGGUGGUCUUGCAGAAGCUCCAUCAACCCCUGUGUCCUGCUGAAUGUAGGGCAGGGGAAACAGAUCCCAGACGAAGGCCCUGCUGAGGCUCUUGGAGGAGGUGAGGACCUGCCUGCAGGAAUGAGUUUGCUUUUGAUCUGGCCCCAGUGUACCUGCUUCAGCCUCUGGACAAGCCACCCUUUCCAAGCACCCUUUCCUUGCAUUUUUAUUGCUUUUCUCUUUGCCUAAGUUUCUCUCCUCCAUCCAGCAAACUCCUACUUAUCCUCCAAGGCCCAAAUCAGAUACAUUCUCCUGGUCAUUUCCCCUCUCUGCCGCUUAGACAAAGAAUCCUCCUUCCACUGGACUCUCACAGUCCUUUGCGCAUUCAUUCAACAUCUAUGUACUGGGCUCUCCCACUGUUCACCCGGCAUUGUUCUAGGUGAUGGGGCUACAGCAUGGCCAAGACAGAGUCCCUACCCCCAAGGCAGGAUUCAGUCUCAUUUUACUGUCUUUCCCAUCCCCAGCACUGUCUGGUCCUGUGUGUCACUGAAGGAAUAAAGGGAUGGGCCCUGGAAAGGGUGGGUCAGAGCUGACCUUGGUGAAGCCUGAGUCAGGCCACAGAGCUGGGAGUCAGGCAUGUAGAGGAUACAGCCUCUAAGGCUCUGAGAGAUUAACAGCCUCCUGUCUUUCUGCGACCACCCUCCUGGAACACGCAGUCACGUGACCCUGAUGCCAGGCUCUCCAGGGAAUCAGGAGGAAAAGCCCAGGUGCUCUUGACAAUAAUGUGGUGCCUGCUGCCCUGUGGGCUCCCUAAUCCCCAGAGGGGCCUGUUCAGCAAAAGGAGCACAAGCAGGACUUAAACAGGCACAAUCAAAACCAUCUCAGUCAGAAGUCAGAGC